rnacentral:misc_RNA from 1 species
GAUGAAGAACGUAGCGAAAUGCGAUAAGUAAUGUGAAUUGCAGAAUUCAGUGAAUCAUCGAAUCUUUGAACGCACAUUGCGCCCGCCAGUAUUCUGGCGGGCAUGCCUGUCCGAGCGUCAUUUCAACCCUCGAACCCCUCCGGGGGGUCGGCGUUGGGGACCUCGGGAGCCCCUAAGACGGGAUCCCGGCCCCGAAAUACAGUGGCGGUCUCGCCGCAGCCUCUCCUGCGCAGUAGUUUGCACAACUCGCACCGGGAGCGCGGCGCGUCCACGUCCGUAAAACACCCAACUUCUGAAAUGUUGACCUCGGAUCAGGUAGGAAUACCCGCUGAACUUAAGCAUAUCAAUAAGGGAGGA